CCAAAAACCGAGUGCGAUCUAUCGACCGUGUCCCUGAGGCAGGGUAUCGUACGGAUGGUGCGACGCGAUGGACAUCGAUCGAUAAUCGAACCUACUGGAAGACUAAUUAUAAACAUUGAAAAUUUGACAUAUACGCGCGCGCACAUAUUAUUUUUUCUUCGUGCGUGCGUGUGUACACGUUUAUUGUUAUAAGUUUGUUUUAUAACAAAAUUAAUCUUUUUUAUAUCAGCGAGGUUAUAUACAAAAGAAAGAGAGUUGUCGGCAGGCGGUAGCGUGGCCGAGCGGUCUAAGGCGCUGGUUUAAGGCACCAGUCUCUUCGGAGGCGUGGGUUCGAAUCCCACCGCUGCCAAUUUUUUUUCUCCCACACGCGAACCGUACUCGAUACUCGCGACCCCGUGCUUGGACUACGCGACGACCGCGCGGUGUACGAUUAGCGUGAACAGUAGUAGCGUCUUCUGCGAAGGUCCAAUGGGUUGCGUCGGCACGCGGCGCCGUGGUUCACACCUAACAGGAAAACAUGUAUCGCGCGUAGGCUGGCUCUCGACCGCUCUAUGUGCGCGACACCUAUAAAACCGACGGUCUACCUAUAGGUAGACCUAUAGGUCUAACACAUUGAUGACGAGCGUUGAUUAGCCAGAGUUCUACCGUUGUCAAAAGUUAUCGAUACGAAACAGAAAGAAGUAAUUUCUAUUUCGGGUGACGUGACGUCGGAGUAGUUUGGUUCUGUUUCUCUUGUCCGCAAGAGGAUCAAGGUGAAACUGCAACGAUCCACAAGAUGCAGAGCGACCUUACGGAAGCACAAAUUCGAAACUCUUGCAAGUAGAUGGGAUCCUGUUGAUGUUGUUAUCGUCAGGGGCUCGCCAUCCCUGCCGUUUUGGUUAAAAGGGACAGUUAUUGAACGCUUAUGAAACGACGAAGGGGAGAACGAUGCUACUAUGGACCACGCCCAAUUGACGCGUCUCCUGCAGCUCAGGAGAAACUGGUCGACCGCAAAUGAAUAAAUGCAGAUUGUGUCGCAUUUUGCAAGUAUAACAAUUAUUAUUACAUACUAUGCUAAUUAAUGGUAUAAUUAUAUUAUGCACUGCGAUAUAUAUAAUGAUACAUUGUUACAUGUUCGUUACAUCGUGAUUAUCUAACAUAAUUAGUAUAAUUAUAAUUAUUAUGCACGCGUGUAUUUCAAAUUUUGCCAUAACAAAAUUUGUAGUCAUUUAUUUUUUUUAUAACAAAAUAUGUAUUCCUUACAACAAGGAAUAUAUUAAAGAACAAACUAAAGAUACAUGCAAUGUUAUACUAACAAAUUACGGUAUCGAACAAUAUGACAAAUAUUGAAAAUUUCUUUCCUGCAUUCUCAUGUUAUCUUUAAAAAUAACAUUUGAAUAAAAGUUUCAGUAUUUUUCCUGAAUUAUGAUAAAGGUAAA